rnacentral:sRNA from 12 species
UGCAGACAAGCGCAGGGUUUGUAGAGGUCACCGGCAACGGUGGCAGCCCGAAUGGGUGGGAUCCUCGAACCUGGGGUCUGCAUGAGU